rnacentral:rRNA from 1 species
CCUACGGGCGGCAGCAGUGAGGAAUAUUGGUCAAUGGGCGAGAGCCUGAACCAGCCAAGUCGCGUGAAGGAUGACGGCCCUACGGGUUGUAAACUUCUUUUGUCAGGGAGCAAUUGGGUCCACGCGUGGGCUUAGCGAGAGUACCUGAAGAAAAAGCAUCGGCUAACUCCGUGCCAGCAGCCGCGGUAAUACGGAGGAUGCGAGCGUUAUCCGGAUUUAUUGGGUUGAAAGGGUGCGUAGGCGGAAUAUCAAGUCAGCGGUAAAAAUUCGGGGCUCAACCCCGUCGUGCCGUUGAAACUGAUGUUCUGGAGUGGGCGAGAAGUAUGCGGAAUGCGUGGUGUAGCGGUGAAAUGCAUAGAUAUCACGCAGAACUCCGAUUGCGAAGGCAGCAUACCGGCGCCCAACUGACGCUGAAGCACGAAAGCGUGGGUAUCGAACAGGAUUAGAUACCCGAGUAGUC